rnacentral:rRNA from 1 species
GAUGAACGCUGGCGGCGUGCCUAAUACAUGCAAGUCGAGCGAACGGACGAGAAGCUUGCUUCUCUGAUGUUAGCGGCGGACGGGUGAGUAACACGUGGAUAACCUACCUAUAAGACUGGGAUAACUUCGGGAAACCGGAGCUAAUACCGGAUAAUAUUUUGAACCGCAUGGUUCAAAAGUGAAAGACGGUCUUGCUGUCACUUAUAGAUGGAUCCGCGCUGCAUUAGCUAGUUGGUAAGGUAACGGCUUACCAAGGCAACGAUGCAUAGCCGACCUGAGAGGGUAAUCGGCCACACUGGACCUGAGCCACGGUCCAGCCUCCUACGGGAGGCAGCAGUAGGGAAUCUUCCGCAAUGGGCGAAGGCCUGACGGAGCAACGCCGCGUGAGUGAUGAAGGUCUUCGGAUCGUAAAACUCUGUUAUUAGGGAAGAACAUAUGUGUAGGUAACUGUGCACAUCUGGACGGUACCUAAUCAGAAAGCCACGGCUAACUACGU